GAUGAACGCUGGCGGCGUGCCUAAUACGUGCAAGUCGAGCGAACGGACGAGAAGCUUGCUUCUCUGAUGUUAGCGGCGGACGGGUGAGUAACACGUGGAUAACCUACCUAUAAGACUGGGAUAACUUCGGGAAACCGGAGCUAAUACCGGAUAAUAUUUUGAACCGCAUGGUUCAAAAGUGAAAGACGGUCUUGCUGUCACUUAUAGAUGGAUCCGCGCUGCAUUAGCUAGUUGGUAAGGUAACGGCUUACCAAGGCAACGAUGCAUAGCCGACCUGAGAGGGUGAUCGGCCACACUGGAACUGAGACACGGUCCAGACUCCUACGGGAGGCAGCAGUAGGGAAUCUUCCGCAAUGGGCGAAAGCCUGGCGGAGCAACGCCGCGUGAGUGAUGAAGGUCUUCGGAUCGUAAAACUCUGUUAUUAGGGAAGAACAUAUGUGUAAGUAACUGUGCACAUCUUGACGGUACCUAAUCAGAAAGCCACGGCUAACUACGUGCCAGCAGCCGCGGUAAUACGUAGGUGGCAAGCGUUAUCCGGAAUUAUUGGGCGUAAAGCGCGCGUAGGCGGUUUUUUAAGUCUGAUGUGAAAGCCCACGGCUCAACCGUGGAGGGUCAUUGGAAACUGGAAAACUUGAGUGCAGAAGAGGAAAGUGGAAUUCCAUGUGUAGCGGUGAAAUGCGCAGAGAUAUGGAGGAGCACCAGUGGCGAAGGCGACUUUCUGGUCUGUAACUGACGCUGAUGUGCGAAAGCGUGGGGAUCAAACAGGAUUAGAUACCCUGGUAGUCCACGCCGUAAACGAUGAGUGCUAAGUGUUAGGGGGUUUCCGCCCCUUAGUGCUGCAGCUAACGCAUUAAGCACUCCGCCUGGGGAGUACGACCGCAAGGUUGAAACUCAAAGGAAUUGACGGGGACCCGCACAAGCGGUGGAGCAUGUGGUUUAAUUCGAAGCAACGCGAAGAACCUUACCAAAUCUUGACAUCCUUUGACAACUCUAGAGAUAGAGCCUUCCCCUUCGGGGGACAAAGUGACAGGUGGUGCAUGGUUGUCGUCAGCUCGUGUCGUGAGAUGUUGGGUUAAGUCCCGCAACGAGCGCAACCCUUAAGCUUAGUUGCCAUCAUUAAGUUGGGCACUCUAAGUUGACUGCCGGUGACAAACCGGAGGGAGGUGGGGAUGACGUCAAAUCAUCAUGCCCCUUAUGAUUUGGGCUACACACGUGCUACAAUGGACAAUACAAAGGGCAGCGAAACCGCGAGGUCAAGCAAAUCCCAUAAAGUUGUUCUCAGUUCGGAUUGUAGUCUGCAACUCGACUACAUGAAGCUGGAAUCGCUAGUAAUCGUAGAUCAGCAUGCUACGGUGAAUACGUUCCCGGGUCU
rnacentral:rRNA from 1 species